rnacentral:rRNA from 1 species
UACGAAGGGGGCUAGCGUUGCUCGGAAUCACUGGGCGUAAAGGGUGCGUAGGCGGGUCUUUAAGUCAGGGGUGAAAUCCUGGAGCUCAACUCCAGAACUGCCUUUGAUACUGAAGAUCUUGAGUCCGGGAGAGGUGAGUGGAACUGCGAGUGUAGAGGUGAAAUUCGUAGAUAUUCGCAAGAACACCAGUGGCGAAGGCGGCCCCCUGGGCCGGCCCUGACACUGAGACGCGAAGGCGUGGGGAGCGAACAGG